GGAGUACUCCAAUCCAAAAGUUGCAAAAAUACGAGGGGCUUGAAAGGUCAUCUUAUCAUACCAGUGAGCGCCCUUCUCGUUGCCGUUUGUACAUCAAUGAGAAAAGCAAAGGACUGUACUAUGGUAUAUGUAGUGAAUGUACUAAACAGACUCCGAUAAAUGUAAUAAAGAUCAGAUGAGAACUGAAUUCCUUCCAAGUACUGCAACACACUUUAUUAUAACUUGAAUAUUACGAACCCGCUCUUAUUUGGUACUACCACUACAACUGUUUGAUGAUGUUCGACAUUAUGCCACAGAUGAGACAAAUGGUCAGAGAAAUAAUCGUGACAAAUCGACUGCAGCGCGGACUUGACGAGCGUCAAGUCUUUGUCUUUAGUUUUGUCUUAGUUACACAAUGUCCUUUUUAGUCACUCAAUGUACUGU